UACGGAGGGUGCAAGCAUUGAUCGGAAUUACUGGGCGUAAAGGGCGCGUAGGCGGCACUGAAAGUCGGAUGUGAAAUUCCGGGGCUCAACCCCGGAGCUGCAUUUGAAACUCCAGAGCUAGAGUAUAGUUAGGGUAAACGGAAUUCCACGUGUAGCGGUGAAAUGCGUAGAUAUGUGGAAGAACACCGGUGGUGAAGACGGUUUACUGGGCUAAAACUGACGCUGAGGCGCGAAAGCAUGGGGAGCAAACAGG
rnacentral:rRNA from 2 species